UGGAUCGGCAUGCCGCGUGAGGUGAAGGCCUAUGGGUUGUAAACUUCUUUUCUCAGAGAAGAAAUUUUGACGGUAUCUGAGGAAUAAGCAUCGGCUAACUCUGUGCCAGCAGCCGCGGUAAGACAGAGGAUGCAAGCGUUAUCCGGAAUGAUUGGGCGUAAAGCGUCUGUAGGUGGCUUAAAAAGUCUCCUGUCAAAGAUCAGGGCUUAACCCUGGGCCGGCAGGAGAAACUCUUAGGCUAGAGUUGGUAGGGGCAGAGGGAAUUCCCGGUGGAGCGGUGAAAUGCGUAGAGAUCGGGAGGAACACCAAAGGCGAAAGCACUCUGCUGGGCCAUUACUGACACUGAGAGACGAAAGCGAGGGGAGCAAAAGGGAUUAGAUACCCCUGUAGUC
rnacentral:rRNA from 1 species